AUGGGUGUACUUUGAUCCUUGAAGGUCUAUUUUAGGAAUCAACCUGGGAAACGUAUAAAUAUUCGGUCUGUAGUAGCGUGCACGUCUUCUAUCGGCAAUUGGCUCUGAGUUGUACGUCCUGUCUACGCGCUCGCGGCACUGGUGCUUACAAGUAUAGCUUUGAGAUUAUCCACUGUAGAAGAUGAAGAAAUCCACGGCGCGCGUGAUCAUUUUAGUAUUGAUAAUUCUACUUCAAAAGGUUGACCAAACCGAAGGAUUUGCGGCCCGUGGCGGCGGCUGUAUGCAGCACGUGCAUCCUGGUUCCUUGGGAAGG